AUUCCCCUAGUAACUGCGAGUGAAGCGGGAAAAGCUCAAAUUUAAAAUCUGGCCAGUUCUUCGAUUGUCCGAGUUGUAAUCUAGAGAAGUGUUACCCGCGCUGGCCUGUGCAAAAGUCUUCUGGAAUGAAGCAUCAAAGAGGGUGAGAAUCCCGUAUUUGGCACAGACUACCAGGGCUAUGUGGUGCGCUCUCAACGAGUCGAGUUGUUUGGGAAUGCAGCUCAAAAUGGGUGGUAAAUUCCAUCUAAAGCUAAAUAUUGGCGAGAGACCGAUAGCGAACAAGUACCGUGAGGGAAAGAUGAAAAGAACUUUGGAAAGAGAGUUAAAAAGUACGUGAAAUUGCUGAAAGGGAAACGCUUGAAGUCAGUCGCGUUGGUUGGAAAUCAGCCUUGCUUUUGCAUGGUGUACUUUCUGAUUGACGGCUCAGCAUCAGUUUUGACCAUUGGAUAAAGGUCGUCGGAAUGUGGCACCUUCGGGUGUGUUAUAGCCUUCGAUUGCAUACAUUGGUUGGGAUUGAGGAACUCAAUGCGCCGCAAGGCCGGGUCUUUGACCACGUACGCAUUUAGGAUGCUGGGAUAAUGGCUUUAAUCGACCCGUCUUGAAACACGGACCAAGGAGUCUAACAUGCCUGCGAGUAUUUGGGUGGAAAACCCGGAUGCGCAAUGAAAGUGAAAGUUGAGAUCCCUGUCAUGGGGAGCAUCGACGCCCGGACUUGAUGUUUACUGACGGUUCCGCGGUGGAGCAUGUAUGUUGGGACCCGAAAGAUGGUGAACUAUGCCUGAAUAGGGUGAAGCCAGAGGAAACUCUGGUGGAGGCUCGUAGCGAUUCUGACGUGCAAAAAU
rnacentral:rRNA from 1 species